rnacentral:rRNA from 1 species
GUGUCAGCCGCCGCGGUAAUACGGAGGGAGCUAGCGUUGUUCGGAAUUACUGGGCGUAAAGCGCACGUAGGCGGCAUGCCAAGUCAGGGGUGAAAUCCCGGGGCUCAACCCCGGAACUGCCCUUGAAACUAGCAAGCUAGAAUCCUGGAGAGGCGAGUGGAAUUCCGAGUGUAGAGGUGAAAUUCGUAGAUAUUCGGAAGAACACCAGUGGCGAAGGCGACUCGCUGGACAGGUAUUGACGCUGAGGUGCGAAAGCGUGGGGAGCAAACAGGAUUAGAUACCCGAGUAGUCC